GCAAGCGUUAUCCGGAUUCACUGGGUUUAAAGGGUGCGUAGGUGGGCAAGUAAGUCAGUGGUGAAAUCUCCGGGCUUAACCCGGAAACUGCCAUUGAUACUAUUUGUCUUGAAUACUGUGGAGGUCAGCGGAAUAUGUCAUGUAGCGGUGAAAUGCUUAGAUAUGACAUAGAACACCAAUUGCGAAGGCAGCUGGCUACACAAAUAUUGACACUGAGGCACGAAAGCGUGGGGAUCAAACAGG
rnacentral:rRNA from 1 species